AUGCAGUCGAGCGGAUUGACGAGGAGCUUGCUCCCUGAUAUCAGCGGCGGACGGGUGAGUAACACGUGGGCAACCUGCCCUGCAGAUGGGGAUAACUCCGGGAAACCGGGGCUAAUACCGAAUAAUCGGUUCUUCCGCAUGGAAGAACUCUGAAAGACGGUUUCGGCUGUCACUGCAGGAUGGGCCCGCGGCGCAUUAGCUAGUUGGUGGGGUAACGGCCUACCAAGGCGACGAUGCGUAGCCGACCUGAGAGGGUGAUCGGCCACACUGGGACUGAGACACGGCCCAGACUCCUACGGGAGGCAGCAGUAGGGAAUCUUCCACAAUGGACGAAAGUCUGAUGGAGCAACGCCGCGUGAGCGAAGAAGGUUUUCGGAUCGUAAAGCUCUGUUGCGAGGGAAGAACAAGUACGGGAGUAACUGCCCGUACCUUGACGGUACCUCGUCAGAAAGCCACGGCUAACUACGUGCCAGCAGCCGCGGUAAUACGUAGGUGGCAAGCGUUGUCCGGAAUUAUUGGGCGUAAAGCGCGCGCAGGCGGUCCUUUAAGUCUGAUGUGAAAGCCCACGGCUCAACCGUGGAGGGUCAUUGGAAACUGGAGGACUUGAGUACAGAAGAGGAAAGCGGAAUUCCACGUGUAGCGGUGAAAUGCGUAGAGAUGUGGAGGAACACCAGUGGCGAAGGCGGCUUUCUGGUCUGUAACUGACGCUGAGGCGCGAAAGCGUGGGGAGCAAACAGGAUUAGAUACCCUGGUAGUCCACGCCGUAAACGAUGAGUGCUAAGUGUUAGGGGGUUUCCGCCCCUUAGUGCUGCAGCUAACGCAUUAAGCACUCCGCCUGGGGAGUACGGCCGCAAGGCUGAAACUCAAGGAAUUGACGGGGACCCGCACAAGCGGUGGAGCAUGUGUUUAAUUCGAAGCAACGCGAA
rnacentral:rRNA from 1 species